rnacentral:rRNA from 1 species
GACGAACGCUGGCGGCGUGCUUAACACAUGCAAGUCGAGCGGUAAGGCCCUUUCGGGGGUACACGAGCGGCGAACGGGUGAGUAACACGUGGGUGACCCGCCCUCAGCUCUGGGAUAAGCCUGGGAAACCGGGUCUAAUACUGGAUAUGACUCCAUGACGCAUGUUGUGGGGUGGAAAGCCUUGUGCGGCUGAGGAUGGGGCCCGCGGCCUAUCAGCUUGUUGGUGGGGUGAUGGCCUACCAAGGCGACGACGGGUAGCCGGCCUGAGAGGGCGACCGGCCACAC